UGGGGAAUAUUGCACAAUGGGGGAAACCCUGAUGCAGCGACGCCGCGUGAGUGAAGAAGUAUUUCGGUAUGUAAAGCUCUAUCAGCAGGGAAGAUAAUGACAGUACCUGACUAAGAAGCCCCGGCUAACUACGUGCCAGCAGCCGCGGUAAUACGUAGGGGGCAAGCGUUAUCCGGAUUUACUGGGUGUAAAGGGAGCGUAGACGGAAUGGCAAGUCUGAAGUGAAAACCCCGGGCUCAACCUGGGGACUGCUUUGGAAACUGUUGUUCUAGAGUGUUGGAGAGGUAAGUGGAAUUCCUGGUGUAGCGGUGAAAUGCGUAGAUAUCAGGAAGAACACCGGAGGCGAAGGCGGCUUACUGGACAAUAACUGACGUUGAGGCUCGAAAGCGUGGGGAUCAAACAGGAUUAGAUACCCUGGUAGUCCACGCUGUAAACGAUGAAUACUAGGUAUCGGGGAGCAAAGCUUCUCGGUGCCGUCGCUAACGCAAUAAGUAUUCCACCUGGGGAGUACGUUCGCAAGAAUG
rnacentral:rRNA from 1 species